UGAUUACGGGCCUGAUCCAAAAUCCACUGAAAUCAAUGGGAGUUUCUACAUUGACUUCAGUGGACUUUGGAGCAAGCCCUAUAUCA
rnacentral:pre_miRNA from 1 species